rnacentral:rRNA from 1 species
ACGGGAGGCAGCAGUGGGGAAUAUUGGGCAAUGGGCGCAAGCCUGACCCAGCAACGCCGCGUGAAGGAAGAAGGUCUUCGGAUUGUAAACUUUUGUCUUAUGGGACGAUGAUGACGGUACCAUAGGGGGAAGCCACGACUAACUACGUGCCAGCAGUCGCGGUAAUACGUAGGUGGCAAGCGUUAUCCGGAAUUAUUGGGUGUAAAGGGUGCGUAGGCGGGAUGUAAAGUCAGAUGUGAAAUGCCGCGGCUUAACUGCGGAGCUGCAUUUGAAACUUACGUUCUUGAGUGAAGUAGAGGUAAGCGGAAUUCCUAGUGUAGCGGUGAAAUGCGUAGAUAUUAGGAGGAACACCGGUGGCGAAGGCGGCUUACUGGGCUUAUACUGACGCUGAGGCACGAAAGUGUGGGGAGCAAACAGGAUUAGAUACCCUGGUA